AGUGAACGCUGGCGGUAGGCCUAACACAUGCGAGUCGAACGGCAGCACAGUAAGAGCUUGCUCUUACGGGUGGCGAGUGGCGGACGGGUGAGGAAUACAUCGGAAUCUACUUUUUCGUGGGGGAUAACGUAGGGAAACUUACGCUAAUACCGCAUACGACCUACGGGUGAAAGCAGGGGAUCUUCGGACCUUGCGCGAUUGAAUGAGCCGAUGUCGGAUUAGCUAGUUGGCGGGGUAAAGGCCCACCAAGGCGACGAUGCGUAGCUGGUCUGAGAGGAUGAUCAGACACACUGGAACUGAGACACGGUCCAGACUCCUACGGGAGGCAGCAGUGGGGAAUAUUGGGCAAUGGGCGAAAGCCUGAUCCAGCAAUACCGCGUGGGUGAAGAAGGCCUUCGGGUUGUAAAGCCCUUUUGUUGGGAAAGAAAAGCAGCAGGUUAAUACCCCGCUGUUCUGACGGUACCCAAAGAAUAAGCACCGGCUAACUUCGUG
rnacentral:rRNA from 1 species